UACCAGCCCCCUGAGUGGUAAGGACGAUUAUUUGGCCUAAAGCGUCCGUAGCCGGCUUAGCAAGUCUUUUGUUAAAUCCAACGAUUCAAUCGUUGGGCCGCAAAAGAUACUGUUAUGCUAGAGGACGGGAGAGGUCGACGGUAGUCCAGGGGUAGGGGUGAAAUCCUAUAAUCCUUGGAGGACCACCAGUGGCGAAGGCGGUCGACUAGAACGUGCCUGACGGUGAGGGACGAAAGCUGGGGGAGCGAACCGGAUUAGAUACCCGGGUAGUCCCAGCUGUAAACGAUGCGGGCUAGGUGUUGGGGUAGCCACGAGCUGCCCCAGUGCCGCAGAGAAGUUGUUAAGCCCGCCGCCUGGGGAGUACGGCCGCAAGGCUGAAACUUAAAGGAAUUGGCGGGGGAGCACCACAAGGGGUGAAGGCUGCGGUUUAAUUGGAGUCAACGCCGGGAACCUUACCGGGGCUGACAGCAGGGUGAAGGCCAGACUGAAGAUCUUGCCAGACAAGCUGAGAGGAGGUGCAUGGCCGUCGCCAGUUCGUGCCGUGAGGUGUCCUGUUAAGUCAGGCAACGAACGAGACCCCUGCUGCUAGUUGCCAGCGGAUUCCAACGGAAUGCCGGGCACACUAGCAGGACUGCCACCGAGAAGGUGGAGGAAGGGGGGGGCAACGGCAGGUCAGUAUGCCCCGAAUGCCUCGGGCCACACGCGGCCUGCAAUGGUAGGGACAAUGGGAUCCGACCUUGAAAAGGGAAGGCAAUCCCCAAACCCUAUCUCAGUCGGGAUUGAGGGCUGGAACUCGCCCUCAUGAACAUGGAAUCCCUAGUAACCGCGUGUCAUCAUCGCGCGGUGAAUACGUCCCCGCUCCU
rnacentral:rRNA from 1 species